UACGUAGGGGUGCAAGCGUUAAUCGGAAUUACUGGGCGUAAAGCGUGCGCAGGCGGUUUUGUAAGUUUGUCGUGAAAGCCCCGGGCUCAACCUGGGGAAUUGCGAUGAAGACUGCAAGGCUUGAAUCUGGCAGAGGGGGGUAGAAUUCCACGUGUAGCAGUGAAAUGCGUAGAGAUGUGGAGGAACACCGAUGGCGAAGGCAGCCCCCUGGGUCAAGAUUGACGCUCAUGCACGAAAGCGUGGGGAGCAAACAGG
rnacentral:rRNA from 1 species